rnacentral:rRNA from 1 species
UACGUAGGGUGCGAGCGUUGUCCGGAAUUACUGGGCGUAAAGGGUGCGUAGGCGGGUCUUUAAGUCAGGGGUGAAAUCCUGGAGCUCAACUCCAGAACUGCCUUUGAUACUGGGGAUCUCGAGUCCGGAAGAGGUGAGUGGAACUCCGAGUGUAGAGGUGAAAUUCGUAGAUAUUCGGAAGAACACCAGUGGCGAAGGCGGCUCACUGGUCCGGUACUGACGCUGAGGUGCGAAAGCGUGGGGAGCAAACAGG